rnacentral:rRNA from 1 species
GACGAACGCUGGCGGCGUGCUUAACACAUGCAAGUCGAACGCUGAAGCUCAGCUUUUGUUGGGUGGAUGAGUGGCGAACGGGUGAGUAACACGUGAGUAACCUGCCUCCUUCUUUGGGAUAACGCCCGGAAACGGGUGCUAAUACUGGAUAUUCACUGGUCUUCGCAUGGGGGUUGGUGGAAAGGGUUUUUCUGGUGGGGGAUGGGCUCGCGGCCUAUCAGCUUGUUGGUGGGGUGAUGGCCUACCAAGGCGUUGACGGGUAGCCGGCCUGAGAGGGUGACCGGGCACAUGGGGACUGAGAUACGGCCCAGACUCCUACGGGAGGCAGCAGUGGGGAAUAUUGCACAAUGGGCGCAAGCCUGAUGCAGCGACGCCGCGUGAGGGAUGGAGGCCUUCGGGUUGUGAACCUCUUUCGCUCAUGGUCAAGCCGCAACAAUGGUUGUGGUGAGGGUAGUGGGUAAAGAAGCGCCGGCUAACUACGUG